rnacentral:rRNA from 2 species
UACAGAGGGUGCAAGCGUUAAUCGGAGUUACUGGGCGUAAAGGGCGCGUAGGCGGUUAUUUAAGUUGGAUGUGAAAUCCCUGGGCUUAACCUAGGAACUGCAUUCAAUACUGGGUAACUGGAGUACUGUAGAGGGUAGUGGAAUUUCCGGUGUAGCGGUGAAAUGCGUAGAGAUCGGAAGGAACACCAGUGGCGAAGGCGGCUACCUGGACAGAUACUGACGCUGAGGCGCGAGAGCGUGGGGAGCAAACAGG